rnacentral:rRNA from 1 species
UACGUAGGGGGCGAGCGUUGUCCGAAGUUACUGGGCGUAAAGCGCGCGUAGGCGGUUUCUUAAGUCUGAGGUGAAAGGUUCAACGCUUAACGUGAACAGUGCCUUGGAUACUGGGAGACUUGAGUGUGGCAGAGGAUAGUGGAAUUCCUGGUGUAGCGGUGAAAUGCGUAGAUAUCAGGAGGAACACCCAUGGCGAAGGCAGCUAUCUGGGCUAACACUGACGCUGAGGUGCGAAAGCGUGGGGAGCAAACGGG